GCACGUGUAGCUCAGUGGUAGAGCAGCAGAUUGCAAAUCUGUUGGUCAUCGGUUCAAACCCGAUCACGGGCU
rfam:Pichia membranifaciens DNA, contig: CON047, strain: KS47-1.